UGAUCCAGAAGGUUAUUGAUAUAUGUUCUGAAAAUCAGCGAGCAAUCUUGCUUUUCUCACAUCAGAGUUCAUGCUCAUGCUUUGAAGAAAUACACUUAUGGAAAACACAUUGUGGCUCGGUUAGAACAACAAUUUGGAGAGAAUCAAACCCCCAGAUCAGGAUGACUAUA